rnacentral:rRNA from 1 species
AUUGAACGCUGGCGGCAGGCCUAACACAUGCAAGUCGAGCGGGAACUUCGGUUCUAGCGGCGGACGGGUGAGUAAUGCGUAGGAAGCUACCCGACAGAGGGGGAUACCAGUUGGAUACGACUGUUAAUACCGCAUAAUGUCUACGGACCAAAGUGUGGGACCUUCGGGCCACAUGCUGUCGGAUGCGCCUACGUGGGAUUAGCUAGUUGGUGAGGUAAUGGCUCACCAAGGCGACGAUCCCUAGCUGGUUUGAGAGGAUGAUCAGCCACACUGGAACUGAGACACGGUCCAGACUCCUACGGGAGGCAGCAGUGGGGAAUAUUGGACAAUGGGCGAAAGCCUGAUCCAGCCAUGCCGCGUGUGUGAAGAGGGCCUUCGGGUUGUAAAGCACUUUCAGUAGGGAGGAAGAGUUGAGUGUUAAUAGUACUCAGCUUUGACGUUACCUACAGAAGAAGCACCGGCUAACUCUGUGCCAGCCGCCGCGGUAAGAC